UUAUCGGUUCGUAAAAUUUAAAUUGUACGAAGAAAAGAACAGCAAAAUGUCGCUUAACAAUGAGAUAACGCAGUCAUAAGUUACCUAAAUGACAGCUUUUCAUAAAUCUGACACGGUCUAUAAUUAACUCUUGCGUGUUGUCGAACCCUUAAUCGCAGUCACUUAGCACUUUUCCGUUAUGCGGUUAGUCAUCCGUCAUUAUUCUGCAGUAGAACACACACACACAUACAUGUGUAUUGCCAAGGAAUUUAUGAGACACAUUUCGAGUGCCUGCGAAACUGAAUCAGCUUUCUUGUCUUCACUUUCUUGAAGCUGACAAGCUUUUGUAUAAACAAAACCACGCAACGUUUACAAAAGAAAUUAGCAGAGUGGCGUGUACAAUAUCACUUAACGAAAUGAAAUACAAAGAAAACCAGAGAAUAUAGAUAACUUUGACGCCCAUCUCAACUAUACAAUUGCAUUUAUAUGUAUAUGACGAUAUGCUGUUCUAUCCGAACUAUUACAGGGCAUCGUCAGUCAGCUCGUGUAGCUCCUGCACCUCUUCCUGAUGCAGUUCGAAACUGACGGCGCCCUCCAUUUCACGCUCCAGCUUUAUUUGUGCCGCAUCCUGUGCCUGGGUCAUUGGUUGUGCCUUGCUGGAGCUGUAUUUGUUGCGCUUCAGCUCUGCGUGCAUAUGCUCCGCCUUGUUGAUUAUGAAUUUGGGUGGAUUCUCCUUGAGCAUCGUAAUGCGAGCCGGACACUUGAGCUUUUUGGUGGCCAUCGAACUGCAACGCCAAAGGAUUUUCUUUUUAUUCUCACUCAUGAUCAGGAAUCGAAUGCCGUUGGCCAUGAUGGCGGGGCGACCACGCAGGGAUUGGGUAAAGAAGACGAGGACAUCUUCUGGAUUAGGCACCUCAUCAUUGGCCAGCACAACUGCAAUGGAAAUUUAGACAAAUUUGAAUUAGUAUGAUUACAAAAAUUGCAUAUGUUUAAAUAAAGAUUAUGAUAACUGUUCCUA